rnacentral:rRNA from 1 species
UAUUAGAAAGAAUACCAAAUGCGAAGGCAGCUUUCUGGAUCAUUACUGACACUGAGGAACGAAAGCAUGGGUAGCGAAGAGGAUUAGAUACCCUCGUAGUCCAUGCCGUAAACGAUGUGUGUUAGACGUUGGAAAUUUAUUUUCAGUGUCGCAGGGAAACCGAUAAACACACCGCCUGGGGAGUACGACCGCAAGGUUAAAGCUCAAAUGAAUUGACGGGGACCCGCACAAGUAGUGGAGCAUGUGGUUUAAUUCGAAGAUACGCGCAGAACCUUACCAACACUUGACAUGUUCGUCGCGACUCUAAGAGAUUAGAGUUUUCGGUUCGGCCGGACGAAACACAGGUGCUGCAUGGCUGUCGUCAGCUCGUGUCGUGAGAUGUUGGGUUAAGUCCCGCAACGAGCGCAACCCUCACUUUUAGUUGCCAUCAUUAAGUUGGGCACUCUGAAAGAACUGCCAGUGAUAAGCUGGAGGAAGGUGGGGAUGACGUCAGGUCCUCAUGGCCCUUACGUGUUGGGCUACACACGUGCUACAAUGGUAUUUACAACAGGAAGCAAAACCGCGAGGUUAAGCAAAUCCCUAAAAGAUACCUCAGUUCGGAUUGCACUCUGCAACUCGAGUGCAUGAAGCUGGAAUUACUAGUAAUCGUGGAUCAGCGUGCCACGGUGAAUGCGUUCCCGGGCCUUGUACACACCGCCCA